UCACUAGGACAGCUUUGUUUUGGUUUUGCAGCGAAAAAAACAGCAGCGUCGUGAGUUCUCUUCGUUUAUUUACCAAGCCUCGCACAAACAAACCAGCGCAUUACGUGUUGCACAGAUGUUUGCGGAUCGUCGAGGAAAUCAAUAAGCGAAAGAUAACUUGGCAGUUGAGCUCCGGAGCUGGAAGAGGAUGGACACGAUCGCUGGGGAGUCGCAGGGAGCAUCGCCGCCGUCGAGCAAUGAGGCAGCGGCGGGAUCCCAGUCCCAGAGCGAUGUCUCCGAGGAGGAGGAGUAUCUGGACAACAGUAUCGAACUGAGGGGCUAUCUCAGCAAGUGGACGAACUACAUCUAUGGAUGGCAGCCGCGCUACAUAGUCCUGAAGGAUGGUACACUCUCAUACUAUAAAUCCGAAUCGGAGUCGGAUUUCGGGUGCCGCGGAGCCAUCAGCCUGACCAAGGCCACCAUUAAGGCCCAUGAGUCCGACGAGCUGCGCUUCGAUGUUGUAGUGAACAACCUAAAUAAUUGGUGCCUGCGAGCUGAGACCAGCGAGGACCGCAUGCACUGGGUGGAUGUGCUGCAGCUGUACAAGGCGGACUCCGGCAGCACGGACACGACUUCCUUGCGCCGUCAUGGCAGCACCAUGAGCCUGCAAUCGAACACCAUCUCGCUGACCAGCGGAGGAAGCCUGAAGAAGACGCAGCGCAACCUGCGUGAAAAAGUCGGCGAGCUGGAGACCUUUAAGGAUAUACUAUUUGGACAGAUCGAGACCCUGCAGCGAUACUUUGACGCCUGCUCGGAGGUGAACAAAAACAAUGCCCAACCAUUGGACCUGGGCGACGGUCUGAAGUCCAUCGAUUUCAAGGGGGAAUCCAUCACGUUUCGGGCCACAACGUCCGGCGUGCUAACCACCCUGCAGCAUUGCCUAGAAAUCAUCGCCGAGAGCGAUGAGUCAUGGAAACGGAAACUGGAGCGUGAAAUAGAUAAGCGUCGACGUUCUGAGGACCAGAGCAAAAAGCUCAAGGACGAAGUUGAGAAAAUGAAGCGUUUAUCGUAUCCUGGCCCAGAUUUCGAGGAGGGUCCACAUUCCACAUUGCCCGAGGAUGAGUUCUUCGAUGCGGUCGAAACGGGCCUGGACAAAAUCGAGGAGGACAUGCAGCUGCGCUUCAAGCUGAAGCUGCAGUCCCAGAUCUCCCAGACACUGGUCAACGUUCCACACGAGGCGGUGGCCGAGGGCGAGGAGGCGCGCGAGGAGUUCGGCACGGGUGCGGAGGCCACCAGCCAUGCCCUGUGGCCGGAGAUCGAUCGCGUGUGCAAGGAGCAACUGCACUACGCACGCGAGGGCGUUGGCCAGGACGGCAAUGGCUGGCAAAUCUUUGCCGACGAGGGGGAGAUCAAAAUGUACAAACGCGAGGAGGAGGUCAACGGGCUGGUCAUGGAUCCCCUGAAGGCCUAUCACACGGUGCAGGGCGUGACGGCGAGGGAAAUGUGCCAUUACUUCUUCAUGCCCGAGUUCCGAAAUGACUGGGAGACCACCUUGGAGGACUGCACAAUCCUGGAAAAAAUCUCGGCGGACACCCUGCUUUUCUUGCAAACCCAUAAGCGGAUAUGGCCGGCGAGCCAGCGGGAUGCGCAAUUUUGGUCGCACAUGCGCAAGAUCACAGACAAUCUGGAGCCGGGCGCACGGGACAUGUGGGUGGUGUGCAACAACUCGACGGAGUACGCCAAGCAGGAGUCAAAGAAUGGAAAGUGCGUACGGAUCUUCCUGACCGUCAUCCUGGCCUGCCAAACCCAUUUGCCCGAGGGUUAUGUGAAGGGACAGCCCCUAAAUCGCAACGAUCUAACCUGCAAAAUAACCUACUGCUCUGUUGUUAAUCCUGGAGGCUGGGCGCCAGCGAGUGCUCUGAGAGCCGUGUACAAGCGCGAGUAUCCCAAGUUUCUGAAGCGCUUUACGGGAUACGUAAUAGAUCAGUGCAAGGACAAGCCGAUCAUGUUCUGAUAUUUGCCAUAAGCAAGAAAGCAAUCAAAACCAAUCAAAGCUGAAUCGUCUCACGUAUUUGGCUCGAACUUUAUCCUUAAUAAGCCUCCAGUUUGUGGCCUCAACUAUAUUUUGAAAACUGUUUUGCUACUCCUUACUACAAUUUUAUUACCAAUUCGUUGAGUUACACGACUUUGGUUCUUCUGUACAAGAGUGUUCUCCAAGCGAAAUGUUAGAAUCCCCUUUUGUAUCUGCGCUAAGGCAACCAAGAUAUAGUGUAACCUAUUUAGCCGUAAGUUAUGUUGUAUAUCUUUAUGGAAAUGCUUUAAAUGCAACAAUUGCAAGAAUGAUGAGAGGGAUGCAUAGCUACAUAUACGAAAGCUUUUCUUUUGGUGUGAAUCUAUAUUGUAUAUCCGCAUACGUACGAGACGAGUAUAUAUAUAUUCCCAUAUUCCCGCCCAGAAACAUCGGUUUUACUCAACUGUCAAGUGUAAAUAAAUGCGACUUACUGUUAUCUCCGAAUAAAA
rnacentral:misc_RNA from 1 species